CCUACGGGAGGCAGCAGUGAGGAAUAUUGGUCAAUGGACGAGAGUCUGAACCAGCCAAGUAGCGUGAAGGAUGACUGCCCUAUGGGUUGUAAACUUCUUUUAUAUGGGAAUAAAAUGUUCCACGUGUGGGAUUUUGUAUGUACCAUAUGAAUAAGGAUCGGCUAACUCCGUGCCAGCAGCCGCGGUAAUACGGAGGAUCCGAGCGUUAUCCGGAUUUAUUGGGUUUAAGGGGGGCGUAGGUGGAUUGUUAAGUCAGUUGUGAAAGUUUGCGGUUCAACCGUAAAAUUGCAGUUGAAACUGGCAGUCUUGAGUACAGUAGAGGUGGGCGGAAUUCGUGGUGUAGCGGUGAAAUGCUUAGAUAUCACGAAGAACUCCGAUUGCGAAGGCAGUUCACUGGACUGCAACUGACACUGAGGCUCGAAAGUGUGGGUAUCAAACAGGAUUAGAUACCCGAGUAGUC
rnacentral:rRNA from 1 species